AACGAACGCUGGCGGCAUGCCUAACACAUGCCAGUCGAACGAGACCUUCGGGUCUAGUGGCGCACGGGUGCGUAACGCGUGGGAACCUUCCCUUAGGUUCGGAAUAACUCCCCGAAAGGGGUGCUAAUACCGGAUAAUGUCUUCGGACCAAAGAUUUAUCGCCUUUGGAUGGGCCCGCGUUGGAUUAGCUAGUUGGUAGGGUAAAAGCCUACCAAGGCGACGAUCCAUAGCUGGUCUGAGAGGAUGAUCAGCCACACUGGGACUGGGACACGGCCCAGACUCCUACGGGAGGCAGCAGUGGGGAAUAUUGGACAAUGGGCGAAAGCCUGAUCCAGCAAGGCCGCGUGAGUGAUGAAGGCCUUAGGGUUGUAAAGCUCUUUUACCCGGGAUGAUCAUGACAGUACCGGGAGAAUAAGCCCCGGCUAACUCCGUG
rnacentral:rRNA from 1 species